rnacentral:rRNA from 1 species
GGGGAGGCAGCAGUGAGGAAUAUUGCGCAAUGGGGGAAACCCUGACGCAGCCACGCCGCGUGAGUGAUGAAGGCCUUCGGGUUGUAAAGCUCUGUCGGGAGGGACGAAGGGGAAACCCUGACGGUACCUCGCAAGAAAGCACCGGCUAACUCUGUGCCAGCAGCCGCGGUAAUACAGAGGGUGCAAGCGUUGCUCGGAUUUACUGGGCGUAAAGCGUACGCAGACGGUGAAGAAGGUCGGAUGUGAGAGCCCCGGGCUCAACCCGGGAACUGCAUCCGAAACCGCUUCGCUAGAGUAUGGGAGAGGAAAGCGGAAUUCCUGGUGUAGAGGUGAAAUUCGUAGAUAUCAGGAGGAACACCUGCGGCGAAGGCGGCUUUCUGGCCCAUUACUGACGUUCAGGUACGAAAGCGUGGGUAGCAAACAGGAUUAGAUACCCUGGUAGUCG